GUGGGAAUAGUUUAAUUGGCAAAACAUCAGUUUUCCAAACUGAAAAUACGGGUUCAAUUCCCGUUUCCCGCU
rnacentral:tRNA from 1 species